UAGAAUAAUGUAGGUAAGGGAAGUCGCAAAUUAGAUCCGUAACUUCGGGAUAAGGAUUGGCUCUAAGGACUGGACCGGUCGGGCUGUAAUGUGAAGUGAGUACGGUUUAAUCCAUGGAGUGUAACAUUAAUGCUUUAAACAUUGAUGAAACUCGGCUAGUGUUCGAACUGUCUUAUGGACCGUUAUAGCUGCGUAUC
rnacentral:ncRNA from 1 species